rnacentral:rRNA from 1 species
GAUGAACGCUGGCGGCGUGCCUAAUACAUGCAAGUCGAGCGAACAGAUGAGAAGCUUGCUUCUCUGAUGUUAGCGGCGGACGGGUGAGUAACACGUGGGUAACCUACCUAUAAGACUGGGAUAACUCCGGGAAACCGGGGCUAAUACCGGAUAAUAUUUUGAACCGCAUGGUUCAAUAGUGAAAGACGGUUUCGGCUGUCACUUAUAGAUGGACCCGCGCCGUAUUAGCUAGUUGGUAAGGUAACGGCUUACCAAGGCGACGAUACGUAGCCGACCUGAGAGGGUGGUCGGCCAGACUGGAACUGGGCCACGGUCCAGAGUCAUACGGGAGGCAGCAGUAGGGAAUCUUCCGCAAUGGGCGAAAGCCUGACGGAGCAACGCCGCGUGAGUGAUGAAGGUCUUCGGAUCGUAAAACUCUGUUGUUAGGGAAGAACAAAUUUGUUAGUAACUGAACAAGUCUUGACGGUACCUAACCAGAAAGCCACGGCUAACUACGUGCCAGCAGCCGCCGUAA